GGAGACGUGGCCGAGUGGCUGAAGGCAACGGUUUGCUAAAUCGUCAUACGCCCUAAAGCGUAUCGAGGGUUCGAAUCCCUCCGUCUCCGCCA
rnacentral:tRNA from 1 species